rnacentral:rRNA from 1 species
CACGUAGGGCGCAAGCGUUGUCCGGAAUUAUUGGGCGUAAAGGGUGCGUAGGCGGCGCGGUAAGUCGGGUGUGAAAUCUUGGAGCUUAACUCCGAAACUGCAUUCGAUACUGCCGUGCUUGAGGACUGGAGAGGAGACUGGAAUUUACGGUGUAGCGGUGAAAUGCGUAGAUAUCGUAAGGAAGACCAGUGGCGAAGGCGGGUCUCUGGACAGUUCCUGACGCUGAGGCACGAAGGUCAGGGGGAGCAAACGGG